GUGAACCCAAAAGACUCGCAAACGGUUUUCUCCCGGUAAAAGAGGUCAUGUGGCUCCGCCGCGGAAACCCCAGAAUCUGAAUCUAGAGGUUUCCCCACAUAGAGCUGUAUCUGCAGUCAGAUUGAUGAGAAUUGAGUUUGGUAGAGCGUUUGCUGAUCUUUUGAACGAGAAAGGGAAAGGCUCCGGAAGCAAUGAGAUGAGUUACGUCGAAAGAACAAUCAGGUUUCGAACUCGAGAUUUGGAUGACCGGGAUCUUAGACUGGUUAGUGUCACCAUUCCCAUCUUUACUGAGUAGAAACCUUGAAGAAGACAGAAGACAACUACACUCAGAGACGACUUAGGGAUUUGGAAAUCAAGUUCUUCAGUCUCUUGAUUCUUGUUUGAGUUCAAUGUGUUCUUCCAGCA